AGCGGCGGACGGGUGAGUAACGCGUGAGAAUCUACCCAUGAGUGGGGGACAACCCGGGGAAACUCGGGCUAAUACCGCAUACGCCCUACGGGGUAAAGCAGGGGACCUUCGGGCCUUGCGCUGAUGGAUGAGCUCGCGUCGGAUUAGCUUGUUGGUGAGGUAAAGGCUCACCAAGGCGACGAUCCGUAGCUGGUCUGAGAGGAUGAUCAGCCACACCGGGACUGAGACACGGCCCGGACUCCUACGGGAGGCAGCAGUGGGGAAUCUUGGACAAUGGGGGCAACCCUGAUCCAGCCAUGCCGCGUGUGUGAAGAAGGCCUUCGGGUUGUAAAGCACUUUCAGUAGGGAGGAAGGCUUACCCCUAAUACGGGUGAGUACUUGACGUUACCUACAGAAGAAGCACCGGCUAAUUUCGUGCCAGCAGCCGCGGUAAUACGAAAGGUGCAAGCGUUAAUCGGAAUUACUGGGCGUAAAGCGCGCGUAGGCGGUGUGUUAUGUCGGAUGUGAAAGCCCAGGGCUCAACCUUGGAAUUGCAUCCGAUACUGGCACGCUAGAGUGCAGUAGAGGGAGGUGGAAUUUCCGGUGUAGCGGUGAAAUGCGUAGAGAUCGGAAGGAACACCAGUGGCGAAGGCGGCCUCCUGGACUGACACCGACGCUGAGGCGCGAAAGCGUGGGGAGCAAACAGGAUUAGAUACCCUGG
rnacentral:rRNA from 1 species